GGUCCGCUAGUGUAACUGGUAACACGCUUGGUCUAUAUGCUCGUUCUAAACAGCUACUCGGGCGAAACCGUGAGGGAUCAGGAAACCGCCGGUUCGACUCCGGGGUGGACCA